GGCAAAAAUAUCUGGUUAUAUAGAAACAAUAGUAAAUAUUUAUUCCCGCACAAAGUCAAACAUUUGCUACUAAGUAUCAAAACCAACUGAAUAAUUCAAUAUUAUUGAUUUUCUCUGGUUAAUAACAGAAGAGCAUUGAGAAGAAAAUAACGUAACGUAUAAAGUACCUUUCCAUAAUAUGACUCCGAUACGUUAAACAAAGCAUCGUGAUGAUCAGAAUUUUAAAUUCUGGAGUGGAGAGCCUGAAGGAUGUUCUCGAAAUCCUUACCAGUCAUCUGGCUAUAUUGACCACCCAGUAUAUCAGUACCAAACACAUUUUGACCACCCACCAAGCUUUACAGGUGUUUUCUACCAGAUCUGGAUAGUUGGCAGGUGGUGGUGAUAGGUCACAUUCUUCAGAUGACUGCAAUUAUCCCCUUGAGAAACAUCACUUAUGACGUUCUGAACCUGACGCGUGAUGUCUUGUUAGAUAGAAUUAUAUUUUAGCCGACUUAUACGAACUCUAUAUAUAUUCUUAACCAGUUAUUAUUUGGGAUAAAACUAAAUAAUUAGUUUAUCGAAACAAUGGCAAUUAAUAAAAUAUAAAAUUUAAUCGUAUUUUCUCUACGCCACAGCGCAAGAUUAAAACUUUACAAUUUAAUAAACGUUCCGCAGAAUCUAAUCCCUCACAGAUCCUGAUGGAUCGAUCCAAAGAUUCCAUUCGAGAUGGAAAAGAAUUCAUUCAAUUACGUGGAAGUUCGCCAACUUAAUUCGGAAUUUAUUCAUUCCGAAAAUUAUUAUGACAAAUUAUUAUUUUGCACAAACUUCUCAAAAUAUAAUUUUUCCAAUUAUUGCAGAGUUUGGAUCUCUCGUACAGUCGUUAAUGAUAUAGUUGCGCAUAUAUUGAUGCACGUAUUGAUUAGGUUGACUUAAAUAAAAG
rnacentral:lncRNA from 1 species